CCUACGGGAGGCAGCAGUAAGGAAUAUUGGUCAAUGGACGAAAGUCUGAACCAGCCAUGCCGCGUGAAGGAUGAAGGCCCUCUGGGUUGUAAACUUCUUUUAUAGGGGACGAAAAAAGGGCAUUCUUGCUCACUUGACGGUACCCUAGGAAUAAGCACCGGCUAACUCCGUGCCAGCAGCCGCGGUAAUACGGAGGGUGCAAGCGUUAUCCGGAUUUACUGGGUUUAAAGGGUGCGUAGGUGGGUUGGUAAGUCAGCGGUGAAAUCUUCGAGCUUAACUCGGAAACUGCCAUUGAUACUAUCAAUCUUGAAUCAUCUAGAGGUAAGCGGAAUAUGUCAUGUAGCGGUGAAAUGCUUAGAUAUGACAUAGAACACCAAUUGCGAAGGCAGCUUACUAUGGAUGUAUUGACACUGAGGCACGAAAGCGUGGGGAUCAAACAGGAUUAGAUACCCUGGUAGUCCACGCCCUAAACCUAUGGAUACUCGACAUUUGCGAUAUACUGUAAGUGUCUGAGCGAAAGCAUUAAGUAUCCCACCUGGAAGUACGAUCGCAAGAUUGAAACUCAAAGGAAUUGACGGNNGAGAGNGACGAGGACGACACGAGGGAGGAGG
rnacentral:rRNA from 1 species